GAUAAACGCUGGCGGCGUGCAUGAGACAUGCAAGUCGAACGAACGAGCUUGCUCGUUAGUGGCGAACGGCUGAGUAACGCGUAGGUGACCUGCCCUGAAGUGGGGGAUAACGGCCCGAAAGGGUUGCUAAUACCGCAUGUCGCGACGUGUUCAUUCACGUCAUCAAAGCCGCGAGGCGCUUCAGGAGGGGCCUGCGUCCGAUUAGCUCGUUGGUGGGGUAACGGCUAACCAAGGCGACGAUCGGUAGGUGGUCUGAGAGGACGAUCACCCAGACUGGGACUGAGACACGGCCCAGACUCCUACGGGAGGCAGCAGUCGGGAAUUUUGCUCAAUGGGGGAAACCCUGAAGCAGCAACGCCGCGUGAGGGAUGAAGGCCUUCGGGUUGUAAACCUCUUUUGUCAGGGACGAUGAUGACGGUACCUGACGAAUAAGUCACGGCUAACUACGUGCCAGCCGCCGCGGUAAUAC
rnacentral:rRNA from 1 species